rfam:Pteropus alecto contig163912, whole genome shotgun sequence.
UGGAUUAAUGAUGAUAAGUGCUGGCGUAUGAGUCACGGAUGAUGAAUAGUAAUAUGUGCCUGGAACUGUGAAAGGAAA